rnacentral:tRNA from 1 species
GCCCAGAUGGUGGAAUUGGUAGACACGCUACUUUGAGGGGGUAGUGCUCGUAAGGGUGUGCAAGUUCGAAUCUUGUUCUGGGCACCA